CACGUAGGGUGCGAACGUUGUUCGGAAUCACUGGGCUUAAAGGGCGCGUAGGCGGGCCCACAAGUCCGGGGUGAAAUCUUUCGGCUUAACCGGAAAAGUGCCUUGGAUACUGGGGGCCUUGAGUGAGGCAGGGGCGGAUGGAACUUCCGGUGGAGCGGUGAAAUGCGUUGAUAUCGGAAGGAACGCCGGUGGCGAAAGCGAUCCGCUGGACCUCUUCUGACGCUGAGGCGCGAAAGCCAGGGGAGCAAACGGG
rnacentral:rRNA from 1 species